rnacentral:lncRNA from 10 species
CCUCAGUCCUAUAAACACCACCAACAGAAUGAACUUGGAAGCAGAUUUUCCCCCAGAGCAUCCAGAUAAGAACUCAGUCCACUCAACAUCUUCAGCUUUGUGAUAUUCCAGGCAUAUUGUGCUGAACUUCUGACUUACAGAACUUCAGUCCUGAAAGGAUUAUAAAAGCAAGAAAGAAACAUGGACUCUAAGAAUUAACAACAGUGUGGGAAGCCACGGAGGAGAUUUAUGACUACCCUAAAUUGGUUUGUGUUUGGAUGGUAUCUCUCCACCCUCUGACCCCUGGGUCACUAACCAACAGCCGAGAGAAGAUGAUCC